rnacentral:rRNA from 1 species
GCUCAGGACGAACGCUGGCGGCGUGCUUAACACAUGCAAGUCGAACGAUGAACCUCCUUCGGGAGGGGAUUAGUGGCGAACGGGUGAGUAACACGUGGGCAAUCUGCCCUUCACUCUGGGACAAGCCCUGGAAACGGGGUCUAAUACCGGAUACUGACUACCGACCGCAUGGUCUGGUGGUGGAAAGCUCCGGCGGUGAAGGAUGAGCCCGCGGCCUAUCAGCUUGUUGGUGGGGUGAUGGCCUACCAAGGCGACGACGGGUAGCCGGCCUGAGAGGGCGACCGGCCACACUGGGACUGAGACACGGCCCAGACUCCUACGGGAGGCAGCAGUGGGGAAUAUUGCACAAUGGGCGAAAGCCUGAUGCAGCGACGCCGCGUGAGGGAUGACGGCCUUCGGGUUGUAAACCUCUUUCAGCAGGGAAGAAGCGAGAGUGACGGUACCUGCAGAAGAAGCGCCGGCUAACUACGUGCCAGCAGCCGCGGUAAUACGUAGGGCGCAAGCGUUGUCCGGAAUUACUGGGCGUAAAGAGCUCGUAGGCGGCUUGUCACGUCGGAUGUGAAAGCCCGGGGCUUAACCCCGGGUCUGCAUUCGAUACGG